CCAGAAGUUUGGCAGAUAUUAAAGAUUCAAACAUUUUUGGUUUUUUUUUUUUAAUAUUUUGUUCUUCUACCAGACUGUCUGAAAAAAAUCUUACUUUCACAUUGCCUUAUGAAUGGCAAAAGCAAUUUGGAGCUGAUUUUCAAGAAAUGUUUCAGUGCCACUUCCCCCACAUAACGAGACUUACUACCUGUUCAAAGAAUGUGAAGAGGGGAAAAGAGUUGAGGUUUCCAUAGUAACCUUUAGUAGUCCAAAGUAAAAUUGCAUAAAAUGAAAUCAUUAUCACUCAGCAACUAAAGAAGACAGCUCAGCUGAUGAAGAUCCAAGUUGUAAAUGACUGCCGCAAAUCCUGGUGAAAUUCUUGGAGGAAAACCAAUCACAACAGAAACAAAUAUUGGUCUUGCAGAAACACAAGGAAUCAGCUUCAGGAAGACUGUCUAUUUCAUGUAGAGACUUCUGCCUUGGAGAAAUAGAGAGGAAGGCUUGAUUAGUAAGGAAAAAAACCCUCUCACAAACUGAAGACUGCCUAACUGGGCAGCUUUUAUGCAUUACCCACUGCUGGUUAGCUAAGCACAGGUUACAAAAUCCAGAAAAGAGCACGUGCGUCAGUCACAAUGUCUGCCUGAGUCAAGCAGAACAAAAUCUGUGACAUUUCAACCCAGCUGAGAUUCUGAGGAGAUUAGACUGAGCAACACUAUGGUGGACAGGAUUUUUUUUCCAGUUCUUGAUAUGAAUCGGAGAAAUAAGAGUACUGUUCCUCUUGAAGCUUCAAAUAAUGGAAGCUGUAAUACAAAAGGCAACAUUAGUUCCAGAAUGGAGUCAAACAGGUUACACCAAGAAUGA
rnacentral:lncRNA from 1 species